AAAAUAAUAAUUUAAUAAACUCUAUCACAAUCAUGAUUCAAUAAAAUUGAAAAAAAAAAAUAGCUAAGCAAAAGCAUGAUCAUAAUCUUUUAAGAUAAUAUCUUCCAAGUUAGUUAUGCCAAGUACCUGACAUGAUAUCAUAAACAAAAUCAAUAAGAGUACACCCAAAAUCUAAGAAUUAUAAUCAAUUGAAAUAAUCCCAAAAUUCAAAAUUGUAUACCCUAUUUUAUACAGUUAAGAGAAUUUAAAUAACUAAAAUUAACAAGUAUAAAUAACUAACCUACAAAGAUAUAAGAGGGGUAUGAUUUUGGUAGUGGCACGACGGUGGUGGCGCGCGGACGACUAGUGGUGGUGCUGCACUUGUGGGACCAACGGCGGACGUGGAGAGACGAAGUGAGGGAGGUCUGAUUUUGGGUGAAGAGGGAGUGAUGAGUUGAUUUUGGGUAGGAUUUGGGAAGGGUUAGAAACUAUGGAAAAGAGGAUGAGAGAAAGAGAAAAGAGAGAAAUGGGAAAGAAACCCGUCUGUGGCAGGCUUUUAUUAAAAGAUUC
rnacentral:lncRNA from 1 species